rnacentral:rRNA from 1 species
UCAACCUGAGAGUUUGAUUCUGGCUCAGAACGAACGCUGGCGGCAGGCUUAACACAUGCAAGUCGAACGCACUCUUCGGAGUGAGUGGCAGACGGGUGAGUAACGCGUGGGAAUGUGCCUAUCGGUACGGAAUAGCUCCGGGAAACUGGAAUUAAUGCCGUAUACGCCCCCUGGGGGAAAGAUUUAUCGCCGAUAGAUCAGCCCGCGUUAGAUUAGCUAGUUGGUAGGGUAAAGGCCUACCAAGGCUACGAUCUAUAGCUGGUCUGAGAGGAUGAUCAGCCACACUGGGACU